rnacentral:rRNA from 1 species
GACGAACGCUGGCGGCGUGCUUAACACAUGCAAGUCGAGCGGUAAGGCCCGUUUCGGGGGUACACGAGCGGCGAACGGGUGAGUAACACGUGGGUGACCUGCCCUCAGCUCUGGGAUAAGCCUGGGAAACCGGGCCUAAUACCGGAUAUGACUCCAUGACGCAUGUUGUGGGGUGGAAAGCCUUGUGCGGCUGAGGAUGGGCCCGCGGCCUAUCAGCUUGUUGGUGGGGUGAUGGCCUACCAAGGCGACGACGGGUAGCCGGCCUGAGAGGGCGACCGGCCACACUGGGACUGAGACACGGCCCAGACUCCUACGGGAGGCAGCAGGUGGGGAAUCUUGCGACAAGUGGGACGAAAGCCUGACGCAGCGACGCCGCGU